GGGGACUUAGCUCAGCUGGGAGAGCACCUGCCUUGCACGCAGGGGGUCAGCGGUUCGAUCCCGCUAGUCUCCA
rnacentral:tRNA from 1 species